rnacentral:rRNA from 1 species
GACGAACGCUGGCGGCGUGCUUAACACAUGCAAGUCGAACGGAAAGGCCCUGCUUUUUUGGGGUGCUCGAGUGGCGAACGGGUGAGUAACACGUGAGUAACCUGCCCUUGACUUUGGGAUAACUUCAGGAAACUGGGGCUAAUACCGGAUAGGAGCUCCUGCUGCAUGGUGGGGGUUGGAAAUUUUCGGCGUUUGGGGAUGGACUCGCGGCUUAUCAGCUUGUUGGUGGGGUAGUGGCUUACCAAGGCUUUGACGGGUAGCCGGCCUGAGAGGGUGACCGGCCACAUUGGGACUGAGAUACGGCCCAGACUCCUACGGGAGGCAGAAGUGGGGAAUAUUGCACAAUGGGCGGAAGCCUGAUGCAGCAACGCCGCGUGCGGGAUGACGGCCUUCGGGUUGUAAACCGCUUUCGCCUGUGACGAAGCGUGAGUGACGGUAAUGGGUAAAGAAGCACCGGCUAACUACGUG